ensembl:lncRNA
CAUCUAUCCAUCUAUCUAUCUAUCUAUCUAUCUAUCUAUCUAUCUGACUACAUUUUUGCAUAAUAACCAAAGGAAAUGACCAUUGUGUUCCUAUCACUGCCACUGCAUAGAAAUGUGUGUAAUUUAUCUAAAGCGCACCAUUUCACAUCAAAACAUGCUAAAUGACUGUUUACAUUUCACUAGUUGGAUUAUGGAGAAAGUUUGCAAAAUCUGUGGAAUUUAGUGUCCCUUUAGUGUCCAGUCAUUUAUGACAGCGCAGAUACCUACACAGAUGUUUUGACUCACCCAAUGGAGGAGGAAACUGAUUUUCCCUCCACUUUACUCCCCUCCCUCAAAAUAAUCAAUGGGAAGAUCCAUUUAAAGCAAAGUCCCACCUGCUCUCUACUGGGAGCCAAUUAUUUGAAGUAAUGUAGGCCUGGACGUCACACCCACCUUUACUCAACACCAAUAGGAAUGCAGGCGUUGUAGUUGGCCUUCAGAGGAAAAAAUGGAAUUUAUGUACGCCUCACUAACCAGCUGCAAAUGUGUCCCCCACGGAGGUCGUGCUUUUGGGACUUUUUGUAGGUGGCUUUAGUAUGGGAAGUAGACAACAAUGGCUAACGAGGCUGAAGAAUGAGCUGAGCAAUAGUCCUCUGGUCUCCAACGUGGCCUUUGGCUUCAUCCUCAUGGGACUGGAGAAGCUGGUCGAGCUGGAGUUUGAGUGUCCUUGCAACCCGACGUGGAACGGACUGUUCUCCUCAGCCUUCUUCAUCAUCCCCGCCGUCAUGGCCUUCACGCUCAUGCUGAUCAUCCAGGGCUGCAGGUGCGAUACGUGGAGCCGCAAGAGCGUGUCCUUCUCCAGCGUGGUGCCCGCGGUCGUCUGGCUCAUUUUGGUCUUCCUCGACGGCCAGUACUUCGCCUGCGCGAUGACGGACUGGGAGGGCAGGUUCGUCAUCGUGGACAAAGCGGCUCCGCAGAAAUGGUGCGAGCCGGUGAAAGAAGAGGACGAAGAGGAAAGCCCGACGCCUCGGGAGCUGAUGCUCCGCUCCCAGCAGCUCUUCGUCGUGUCUCAGGUUAUCGGCAUAAUGCUGCUGAUUUUUAUCUGUGCUGGACUGGUAGUGUAUGUGAUUAGAGAGAGCUGCCGGAGGGACUUCCAAUCCCAGGAUGCCAAUGUAGCGGAAAUGACGUACACCCCCAGCUCGAGGGCGAGAACAUCAUGA